UACGUAGGGUGCGAGCGUUAAUCGGAAUUACUGGGCGUAAAGCGUGCGCAGGCGGUUGUGCAAGACAGAUGUGAAAUCCCCGGGCUCAACCUGGGAAUUGCAUUUGUGACUGUACGGCUAGAGUGUGUCAGAGGGGGGUAGAAUUCCACGUGUAGCAGUGAAAUGCGUAGAGAUGUGGAGGAAUACCGAUGGCGAAGGCAAUCCCCUGGGCCUGCACUGACGCUCAUGCACGAAAGCGUGGGGAGCAAACAGG
rnacentral:rRNA from 1 species